CUACAAACUUCUUUCACUUUCUCUUUUGAGCAUUGAAAAAAAUAGAUUACCUUACCAUUACUUUUAACUUUAUUUUAACUAGAUUAGAUCUAGUCUAGACAGAUUAGAAAAAAAAGUCUAUAUCUAGAAGUAUAGCAAAGUGACUAUAAAGUUUAGGUUACAUACUUAGACUAACACUUUUCUAAUUAUUGUACAGCCUUAGACGCCUUAGUACAGGUACUGAGCCUGCCACUCUGGAGUCCAGUGAGAAAUCUUAAAGUAGUAGUCAAUUGAAAUUAACAAAAAGAUCACAAGAAAAUUAAUUCAGCUGUACAUUUACAGAACAGAUAAUGAAAAAAACAAAGCAAGCAGCAUUUUUAGACAAAGCACACCUCUGGACUGUUCGAACACUAAUGGGUAUCACUCUUGCUGGAAGUGCUGUGUUAGCCUAUCAACUGUAUAGCUAUUUUUCAUAUAUUAGACCAGCUAAAGUUGAGGAAAUAAGGAAAUUAAAGGAAGUUCAAAUCGCCUUGGAACAACAGCAAAAGGAAGAUGAGCUAAUGAAGCGACAAAAAGAAGCAGAAAACUUUGUCAAAUAUUAAAUUGUGUGUGUGUGUAUGUACAUUUAACAUUUCAUAACAUUUGCAAUAUCAAUAAACCUAAAAAAGAAAUAUAGAUAACAAA